AUUGAUAAAACAAUAAAAUUGGAAAUAUGAUAACCCUAAAAGUAACGCUAUUUUUUUUUAACACAGGUUUAUAUCAGAAGACAGCGAUAGUAACAGCACCAUGUCAUAGAGUUAAAGUGACUAAAUGAUGUCAAAAAGCCAAAGAUUGGAGAAAGAAUAUUAAUUAUCAAGACGCUCACUGUUAACAGCUUUGCUCUUGAGUGUGGGAAAAAAAAAAAAAAAGAAUCUGCUAUUCUCUCCUUUUGUUAUGGCUUAAAGUUUUGAAUUUCACAAAAAUAAAUCCUGGGAGUGAAAAUAUAUAGGCUUGUGUCUAUUGAUUCUCCUACCU
rnacentral:lncRNA from 1 species